UACGUAGGGUCCGAGCGUUGUCCGGAAUUACUGGACGUAAAGCGUGCGCAGGCGGUUCGGAAAGAAAGAUGUGAAAUCCCAGAGCUUAACUUUGGAACUGCAUUUUUAACUACCGGGCUAGAGUGUGUCAGAGGGAGGUGGAAUUCCGCGUGUAGCAGUGAAAUGCGUAGAUAUGCGGAGGAACACCGAUGGCGAAGGCAGCCUCCUGGGAUAACACUGACGCUCAGGCACGAAAGCGUGGGGAGCAAACAGG
rnacentral:rRNA from 1 species